CGGAAAUAAAGAAAGGUAUGAGAAAGACUCGAAGCAGUGAACCUCGAGAACGAACCGAGUCCCAGAUUGGCCAGGCGGAGGUCCCACGCUGGCGUCACCACUCGAGGGACGAGGCGCCGCGCGGUCACGUGGAUAUCUGAAUUGCGCGUUAAUCACCUCAGUAAUUGAACACCGGUGUCAUUAGUUUGUGUAGUGGUCGUUAAUUGUACUUUGCAGUAGUGCAGGCAAAGGAAGCGUUAGACUCUCUAGCUUCCAUGGAGCUGACUUUGCCGUGGGUACUGAGCGCUGGCAGCAGGGAGUGUGGUGCUGGAGGCCUGGUGUUCCCUGUCUGAUUUACUCCGUGGCGACGCCGGACAGCAGUAGGAGCGAGAGGAGAUAAUUAGUGGGCUGUGUGUGGUGAGUGCCACAUUGUCUGUGAGGGACCCUCAGAGCCACACAGCACCAGCUGCAACAGCUACAGCAGCAGCAGCAGCAGCAGCAGCAGGAGGAGGAAAUGGCAUCCACCUUCUACCUCACCCAGUGUCACGGGGGCCUCCUCCUCCUCCAGCACUACAGGUGGUGACAGAGAGGGUGGCCAGCUUGUCCCUCCCUCCUGCCACCCAGCCACAGCACUGGCAGUUGCUGCAGUGAGACUGCCCAGGCACAAGUUUGUGCACGUGUCCAGGACGUGAAGGUGAUGGGAACGUGUCCUGUAGGAGGGAGCAGAGCUGUAACAGUACCCGAGUCUGCUGCUGUGCUGGGAGAAGGAGAAAAACAUCAGCAGUAGUUAGUAGUGGUAGUAGAAGUAUUCAGCAGUGCUGCUGCUGCUGCUGCUGCUGUCAGUGGUGCAGCUGUUCACUCCUCCACAGCUGCUGCCUUCCCUCAACAUACUGUGUCUUCCCUCACCUACAAUGAACAACUAUGAACAAUACCUCUCGUGCAAUCAGGCAGCGCUCAGCUGUACUCACCGAUAGACUGACCACUAAGAAUUACCUGUGGGCCACAUGACAAGGCCCAUGCCAGCCAGGCUUGGUUGCCAAUCAAUAACAACAACAACAACAUCUCGUGCAAUGAAGAACACUGAAUAACAACAACACCUCUCCCCUGCAUCAUCAACAAUCAACAACAUCUGCUUUGUUUCACUCAUGCUGCCUCCCCCCCCUCUCUCUCUCUCUCUCUCUCUCUCUCUCUCUCCUCACCUCACCUCACCUCACCUCAGGCCACAGCGCCACAGUAUGUCCCCCCACAGUAUGUUUACAAACCCACAGUGACUCCCCACAGCCCCUCACCAAUAAGUGACCCCCUCACACACACACACACACACACACACACACACACACACACACACACACACACACACACACA